UCACUGUCAUUCUUACAUAGGAUAAUGAGAUACCUGACAUGAAGAGAAAUCUCUGCUCUAGAACCUUGCCGAUAGACAGCCAACUUUCCAUUUCAUUUGGAAGGCCUCCAAGAAUACCUCCUCGUGUUGCUAGCAGAUUAAUGAACACUGACAACUUCCACCCACCACCUGUUCCUCCAAGAGGACGUGAUAAGUUACACUAAAUCUUUUGGCUAUUAAAAACUGAAACAUGAGAAUGACUUUUGAAUGGUUAUGCUGUAACUCUAAUCAGCAUAUCAGUUCACCCCUUGUGAUUCUCAAAUGAGUAAUUUUGGUAGAAUUUACUCUGAAAAUUGAGUCAAGGGUGAAUGAAGAAAAAUUCAGCAUUUAGAACAAAUAAACUGUUAAAACAUGAAAAAAAGUUGAACUUAUUAGAAUUCUUAGAUUCUAAUUAUACCAGACUAAAGGUGCCUCAAUCAUUUCUCACAUAUUCCUAAACUUCAGAAUGGAAUAGCUAUCAGCUACCAUUUUUUUUCUGUUUAUCUACAAAUAAAGUAGCCAGGGAUGCUGCUUUGAAAACAAAUUUAUUCUGUUAUAGAUAACUAUACUUCCACAAUAUAGUGAAACUGGAGUGCCUUGUAUUGAAUAGUACAAUUCAUUUGAAAUUUGUCUAAUUUCUUAAUGAUUUUAUGAUAAUUUCAUAUUCAGAAUUGUCUAAUUGAUAUGUCUGGUUGCUGUCCCAGUAAAACAACAGUGAGAAAUUGAGGAGGAUUUUUCUCUUCAGUUCAUAUAAAUUAAAUCAAAGAGUCUCUAUAUGAGUCAUCUAUAUGA